rnacentral:rRNA from 1 species
CCUACGGGUGGCAGCAGUGAGGAAUAUUGGUCAAUGGACGCAAGUCUGAACCAGCCAUGCCGCGUGCAGGAAGACGGCCCUAUGGGUUGUAAACUGCUUUUGUACGGGGGUAAACGCAGAUACGCGUAUCUGUUUGCAAGUACCUUACGAAUAAGGAUCGGCUAAUUCCGUGCCAGCCGCCGCGGUAAUACGGAGGAUGCAAGCGUUAUCCGGAUUUAUUGGGUUUAAAGGGUGCGUAGGCGGUGCGUUAAGUGAGAGGUGAAAUCCCGGGGCUCAACUUCGGAAUUGCAUCUGAUACUGGGCGGCUUGAGGGUGGUGGAGGUAGGCGGAAU